rnacentral:rRNA from 1 species
CAGCAGCCGCGGGAAUACGUAGGUGGCAAGCGUUGUCCGGAAUUAUUGGGCGUAAAGGGCUCGCAGGCGGUUUCUUAAGUCUGAUGUGAAAGCCCCCGGCUCAACCGGGGAGGGUCAUUGGAAACUGGGAAACUUGAGUGCAGAAGAGGAGAGUGGAAUUCCACGUGUAGCGGUGAAAUGCGUAGAGAUGUGGAGGAACACCAGUGGCGAAGGCGGCUCUCUGGACUGUAACUGACGCUGAGGCGCGAAAGCGUGGGGAGCAAACAGGAUUAGAUACCCCGGUAGUCCCUGUCUCUUAUAC